UACGGAGGGUGCAAGCGUUAUCCGGAUUCACUGGGUUUAAAGGGUGCGUAGGAGGGCAGGUAAGUCAGUGGUGAAAUCUUCGAGCUUAACUCGGAAACUGCCGUUGAUACUAUCUGUCUUGAAUCCCGUGGAGAUGAGCGGAAUAUGUCAUGUAGCGGUGAAAUGCUUAGAUAUGACAUAGAACACCAAUCGCGAAGGCAGCUCGUUACACGAAGAUUGACUCUGAGGCACGAAAGCGUGGGGAUCAAACAGG
rnacentral:rRNA from 1 species